GCUAGCGUAGCUUACUCAAAGCAUGACACUGAAGCUGUUAAGAUGGGCCCUAGAAAGCUCCGCAAGCA
rnacentral:tRNA from 1 species